rnacentral:rRNA from 1 species
AGCGAACGCUGGCGGCAGGCCUAACACAUGCAAGUCGAACGAACUCUUCGGAGUUAGUGGCGGACGGGUGAGUAACACGUGGGAACGUGCCUUUAGGUUCGGAAUAACUCAGGGAAACUUGUGCUAAUACCGAAUGUGGCCUUCGGGGGAAAGAUUUAUCGCCUUUAGAGCGGCCCGCGUCUGAUUAGCAAGUUGGUGGGGGAAUGGCCCACCAAGGCUACGAGCAGUAGCUGGUAUGAGAGGAUGACCAGCCACAUUGGGCCUGAGACACGGCCCAAACUCCUACGGGAGGCAGCAGUGGGGAAUCUUGCGCAAUGGGCGAAAGCCUGACGCAGCCAUGCCGCGUGGAUGAUGAAGGUCUUAGGAUUGUAAAAUCCUUUCACCGGUGAAGAUAAUGACUGUAGCCGGAGAAGAAGCCCCGGCUAACUUCGUGCCAGCCGCCGCCGUAA